GGGAUUGCACAAUGAGUUUCACUCCAGAUCCAAACAUCAGCUUAUUGUUAGAUCCAGACAACCACAGUGCAACACUCCUGUACAUGAAUCCUCUUCUUCACUAGAGGGUGAACAAAAAAGCCCAUGUUCAGAGUCAGAGACGUUAUUCAAGAUAUUGAGUAAUCUCGGCCAAUAUUAUAUCCACAUUUAGAUAUUUGAGGUCAAAAUACUUUACAUGAAUACAAAACGUUUUAAGAUUCUAUUUGGGCUUAAAUAACAUUUAUUAUUUCAUACCAUCUCCCGACAUGUGAAUGAAUGUCAUGUAAUUGAAAUGCAAAGCCCAACAUAAAUGCAUAAAGAGAGAAAGUUUGACUCUGCAGUCUUACCUUGCCAAUGGAAGUCCUUCAUUAAAGAAACGCUCACACACUGCAAACACUCAGAAAAAUACAGUGUCUCCAGACAACCAUUAUGUAAUUAUUCAUACAUAGCCUUAUAUAAGUACGCAUAGCACCACUGAACUGUUAUAGUAAAAUAGAAUGAUCUGAAUGUGCAAUGCAUGCUGAAUGCUCUUCAGAUUGCUGUAAAAAAGUUAGGUACCAUGUUUAGUCCUCAUGUAUUUUUUUGUGAAUACAAACAUGCUUCUUCUUUGAGGACUCAUCUAUACUUUAUCAUAUAUCUUUGUCUAGCAGGAAGUGAUCCACAUAGCAGAUAUAUAACUUACAUACAUAUGACCCAUUGGCCUACAUUGAAGAGAAAAUUAGAGAACACCAAUCUAAACCUUCACCUGUGACCUACAUUAGGAUGUAUCCCUUAGUCUCAUGGGAUAUGAGGUGCAAUGCAUUGUUAAUGUUUACUUCAUAACAUGUGGGAACCAUUUUACACAUAAAGCACUAUUAUUAACUAGGGCCCAUCCCAAGAUGUGUACUAUAUGUGCCUUUCUACCAAAAUGUGCCAAAGUAAUUUUCAAGUGAAUAACAUUCAAUAAAAAUUUUAUUUAUUUAAAAAAGACGGCCAUUAUCACAAGCAACCCAUAUUAUAAUGGUUCAAAUGAUCAUACAGAACACAAGUGAAACAGAGUACUAUUUCCCAAAUGUUGUCUUUCCUUGACACCUCAUAACACAUUCAAGGAGAUGAAAGGAAAGGUAACCAGAAGGAGACGAGGAGAGAGGAUAUGAGGAAUAAAGUAAAUACAAUUUAGACAGACACAGCGAAGCAAAUGUGGUGAACUAGAAGUCACAUCAACAGAGAACAUUAUUUUACAACCAGCAGGGGGCAACAUCAUCCCAUAUUUUAAAGGUGCACUCUAGUCACAUGAUGAAAUUGCAGAGCUCCUCCAAUAAUAAAAAUCACCUUGUAUAAAUGUACCUCACACUGUGUCAGACUUAUCACCAAUAAUCCCAAUCAAAACGAGUGUUGUGUGCUGCAGAUCGUUUAGGAAGGUGGGUGCACUGCUCUCUACUAUAUCAGUCAUAAUUAGACCUAAACGAAUGUUUCUGAAAAACGGUAGCGUGACUGGUUUCCAUCCUAUUUUCCACUAACAUCAGUCAAUAGACGUUCACCUUAUCAAAAUGUAUCAUGCUUUACAAUAAUAAAAACAUACAGUAUAUAUUUCCAUAGCCUACAUUUACAAAUCCCAUGUGAUUAUAAAAUGUUGGGUUGAGGUCUGGCGCGUAUGAUAUUGCAGUCUUUUAAUAUUGCCACAGAUCAACAAUUAUAUGGUACAGUGGAUAUCAAAGGUAUACACAUCUUUACUGACAAUGCAGCGGUUGUUUAUGAAAAUGGACAAAGGUAAUGAAUUCAAGCGAUUCUGACUUGCCAAAAAUAAAAGAAGCUGUUCCAGUUGGUUUGCUUUAAAACUUCAAGGUUUGUUGCUAGUAUACUACAGAGAUAGCCAUGGUCCACAAGGAGCUAACAAAAGUCCUAGAGGUCUUAUUGUUGAAGGUUGUGAUUGAAAUGAUAAGUCCAACCAGUAGAGCUCAGUGUAAGACAGAUGCACCAUAACAAGGUACACAUCAGGAAAGAAAUAUCAAAAAAUGAUGAGGACAUUACACUCUCUAUAAUGGAAAACUGUGAAGACCGCCAUUAAGAAGUGGAGGCAGGAUGACAGGCAGGUCCCACCAAAUUAUAUUUCAGGGCAAAGAGAAAGCUCAUCAGGGAGUGUACUAUAUGGCCCAUGGCAACCUUAAAUGAGCAGCAGGGAUUUACGGCAGGAACUGAACUUGCCCUGCAUGUUACAACCAAUUGCAAGACAAAAGCCAUAAAAGAGAACACCCAAUCCUUUUAUAUUUUGCAAGAGGACACAUUGAUCUCUCAAAAUUGAUUAUUGGACGGUAGAAAGUUUUUACCUUAAAUUCCAAAAGAUAUGUUUCAUAAAGCCAACACGGCUCAUGACACAGAGUACACAGCACCUAAUGUCAGGCAAGGUCUCUGGUCAGGAUCGUUCCAGAUAUCAUUUAAAAGAAGAUUGUGGCACAAACCCUUCUGCCCUAUGCCAGAAAGUUAGAGAAUUAUAUUACUUUUCAACAUGACUACUGGGCACAAUUUAAAAUGCAGGUUGGUUAGGUUGAUGUUAAAUUAAAAUGUUAUUCACUUAAAUGUUGUUGGCUAAAAAGUAUGAAAUUAUUUGUUUUGAUUACAGCAUUAAAUAAAAACCAGCUGCAUUUUCAAUAAGGACGUGUAGACUGUUGAUAUCCAUUCUAUGUGUUUGUCACUAAUGCAUGCUUCUUACUGCUCAAGCACGCAUGCGAAUAAAGUAACAGUUGGAGCCAUUUCUUGGAAGUCAAGGUGUCUGAAAGAUCUUAAUCUGUUAAUAUGGUUUGACUGUUUCAAUGUACUGGUGAAAACGUGGUUAGGGUUCUCUAGUGGCAGGCUUUGUACAUUUCUAAACAAACUGCAAAGCAUUCAUGUACUUAAAAUACAAAUAAUACAAUAAUAAUAAAAGUAAAUAGAAAUAUUCACAAUAAAUGUUUUUCAGUACGUGUCUCUAGUAUUUCCAAAUUGCAAGCAGGGAGCAUUACAGCAUUCAACACAGAGAAAAUCACUAAAUAAUUAUAUUUUGUAAAAAAGCUAUUGACAAACCAAACGUGGAAGGAAAUUAGAACUGAUUAUGUGUAGUCCAAAUAGGUCUGUAAACAGAAUAGUAAGGGAUAGAAGGAUUUUAUUAUAUUGGUUUGAAAUUUCAUUAAUUCAUGUCAACAAUCUGCCACACAUAAACAAAGUUAAGUCCACUUACCUAGAACACAAGGGCCUUGACAGUAAAUAACACAUUGAAUGCCACGGCUUUGGCAAACAGAACUCUUAAACCAUACACAACUAGUGAUGUGAAGUUCACCUUUG
ensembl:lncRNA